rnacentral:rRNA from 1 species
UACGUAGGGUGCAAGCGUUGUCCGGAAUUAUUGGGCGUAAAGAGCUCGUAGGCGGUCUGUCGCGUCGAAUGUGAAAACCCGGGGCUCAACCCCGGGCCUGCAUUCGAUACGGGCAGACUAGAGUUCGGUAGGGGAGUCUGGAAUUCCUGGUGUAGCGGUGAAAUGCGCAGAUAUCAGGAGGAACACCGAUGGCGAAGGCAGGUCUCUGGGCCGAUACUGACGCUGAGGAGCGAAAGCGUGGGGAGCGAACAGG